UGGGUACGACCUACAACACUUUUUUCGCCAAGUGGCAACGUAUGAAACUCGCGGUAAUUCAGAAAUAAAAUAGUUUCGAAGAACAAAGAUGUCGAGGAAAAUAUCGAUGUUGAAAUGUACUAUUAACAACUUCUUUUUGGAAGACCAGGAAAAUGGCCCUAAAAAGCGCGACGCUGCCUAGUGGCCUCGUCUUGAGCAGUGCGUGAACCAGCCUGAUAGGGUCCGUCAAGAGGUGAGGGGGAGCCGUUAGAGAGACGACGUCGUGAGCAGCGCGAAGACGCGGAUGAAGAAGAAGAUCAAGAUCAGCAACAUUACCGUUGAGAAAAUGUACAUACAUACAUUAAAAAAUAAUAAAAAGAAAA